CGAAAAGCAAUAAUGUCUAAGAAGCCUGUAGUACACCGAAUGACUGAUAGGGGUCAGUAUGUAGGUGAAAAAUGCAGUGGUUUGUUGGUUUGUACAUAAAAUGCAAUAAUGUCUGAGAAGCCUGUAGUACACAGAAUGACUGGUAGGUGUCAGUGUGUAGGUGAAAAUGCAGUGGUUUAUUGUUUUGUACAUGAAAAGCAAUAAUGUCGGAGAAGCCCGUAGUACACCGAAUGACCGUAGGGGUCAGUGUGUAGGUGAAAAAUGCGGUGGUUCGUUGGUUUGUACAUGAAAUGCAAUAAUGUCUGAGAAGCCUGUAGUACACCGAAUGACCGG